ensembl:lncRNA
UACCAUCCAGCGCCCCUGCGGAUCGGGCAAUUGCCGGCCCACAGCCCAGCUCACUUCUCCCUCUGCAGUCGGCUUCUCCCCCAGCCCUUCUGCAGGUGUGGGGUCCUGACCAGCUCCCUGCGUGCCUGGCUGUGUCUCAGGGAGGCUUCUGGAGCACCUGACCAUGUCCCAACAUGUGGGAAGUGGUGGCUCGGGGAAAGAGAGGGUCAGGAUGACUCUGAGGCUUUUGUCCUGAGUAGCUGCCGGAAGACAGGAGUUGCCAUCAACUGAGAUGCGUUUGGGCUGCUCCUCAGGCCUGCCUCCCGGCUGGCCAGUGCAGUUUGAAAAUGAGAUCUGAAUCAGUCCGUGCACUGCGAAUUGGCUGCUCUCUGUUAGAUCAAAUUGGUGAGGCAAUGUUGACAUAUGGCAUCAGAAAGCAGGACCUGGAGCGAUCUCACCUUCCCGGAGUGGUGCCCCCUGGAAACGGGUUCUGUACAACAGGCGUCCCUUGUGGGGGCUCACCGCUUCUGUGGACCGCCGGCUCCUCCCCUCAUGAGUCCUCUCAGGUUCUGACCUCCCUCCCUUUGGUGAAGGUCUUUGCCUUUCUUUGGGGUUCUGGGGCAACAGCCCAACCUGGGGUCGAUCAACCAGGAGACAGUUGUCUUCAAGUCGGCUCAUGGCUUUGCUGUCUGGAAAGGUUUAUUCCCAGUCUGGUUUCUGGCAAACUUUCAGACCAUAAAACUGAACUGGAUAAGAAAAUACAGAACUCUAAUGGAGAAACUGAUGGCUUCAUAAAACUGCUAACAAAAGAUCUAGAACAAAUAUUAAUUACAUGGGACGACCUGAACUGAGGAGGAUGCUCAAAGGUUUUGUUUUUCCAGAUGUAAAAAAAUCUUUGUGAAUAAAGAUGAAAGGUUUACUUUUUCUCCCUACCCAAUCCCUCCAGAAUUCAGAAACUCUCAGUGAAUAUUCUCAUUUUCACUUGUGGAUAUAGAAUCUGGUCCCGUGAAUUGCCUUUGAAGUUUUCUUAUACACCUGUAGACUGGACCCACCCUGGCCUAAGGUGUUGCCUUUGGUCUUGCUGACAGUUCACAGUGCCCUCUUUGGAAAACUUGAACUGACUCCACACGGGACGGUCACUGGCAGAUCAGUGUCUGUUGGUACACAACCUUCUGCUGACCCCUUGUCGUCUUAUGCUAGUAUGACCAGCUACCGUAAGACUCUAAUGUCUUACGCUCAAGCCCAUCAUUAACAGGUUAAAGAAGCUUUCCUGGAUCCCAAUUUAAAGGAUCCUGUUGGUCAGUCUAGAAGCUGGUGACUGGGUAUUCUGGAAGCAUCAUCAGAGGAAGACAGCCCUUGAGCCCCGUUGGAAAAGACCUUACCAAGUGCUCCUGACCACUGACGCUGUUUCAGAACUAGGAGGCAUUGAACCUUGGAGACACAUCUCCCAGCUAAAGAAGGCUCCACAUGACAUCUGGUCCUGCACGAAUGCUGGAGGCCUCCAAAUCUAAUUGACCAGGAAGAGAAGCAGCUGACGUGAGGCAGACAGCUUUCCCCAGAAGGCUGAACCAGGCCUGUACACGUUUUACUUGCUGUUGCUUCCUACCUUAUUUUCUCCCUGUCUUUCUUGGAAAGACAUGACUCUUACUUGCAUUUCUCAAUCUGUUACAAAGUGGGGAAAUCUUUCUGACUGUUGGGUUUAUCAUCAGAAGCCUCCUUCUGUACAUGAAUCUAGAGAAUCCUUUAGUGUAAUUAUUACAGUCUCUCUACCACUCC